rnacentral:rRNA from 1 species
AACGAACGCUGGCGGCAUGCCUAACACAUGCAAGUCGAACGAGACCUUCGGGUCUAGUGGCGCACGGGUGCGUAACGCGUGGGAACCUGCCCUUAGGUUCGGAAUAACUCCCCGAAAGGGGUGCUAAUACCGGAUAAUGUCUUCGGACCAAAGAUUUAUCGCCUUUGGAUGGGCCCGCGUUGGAUUAGCUAGUUGGUAGGGUAAAAGCCUACCAAGGCGACGAUCCAUAGCUGGUCUGAGAGGAUGAUCAGCCACACUGGGACUGAGACACGGCCCAGACUCCUGCGGGAGGCAGGAGUGGGGAAUAUUGGACAAUGGGCGAAAGCCUGAUCCAUCUAUGCCGCGUGAGUGAUGAGGGCUUUGGGGUUGAAAAGCUUUUUUCCCGGGGAAGAUAAUGACGGUCCGGGAAAAAAAAGCCCCGGCUAACCCCGUG